UGUUUCUUGACAUCACCGUCGGAGGACACGAGGUUGGCAGGAUCGUGAUCGGUCUGUUCGGAGAGGUCGCUCCGCUGACCGUGCAGAACUUUGUGGCUCUUGCCACAGGAGAGAAGGGUUACGGGUACAAAGGCAGCAAGUUCCAUCGGGUUAUCAAGGACUUCAUGAUCCAAGCAGGAGACUUCACCGCUGGAGACGGAACAGG